UACGACGGGGGCUAGCGUUGUUCGGAUUUACUGGGCGUAAAGCGCACGUAGGCGGCUCUUUAAGUCAGAGGUGAAAUCCCAAGGCUCAACCUUGGAACUGCCUUUGAUACUGGAGACCUUGAGUCCGGGAGAGGUGAGUGGAACUGCGAGUGUAGAGGUGAAAUUCGUAGAUAUUCGCAAGAACACCAGUGGCGAAGGCGGCUCACUGGCCCGGUACUGACGCUGAGGUGCGAAAGCGUGGGGAGCAAACAGG
rnacentral:rRNA from 1 species